GCACAACGGUUUUUCUCUACCAUCCAUCCAAGCAGACAAGAAGUGACUCACACAUUCCUUAGUCCCUCUUGGCAGCAAGGUUGUCUCUGGCCCACAUGCUCCACUGUUUCCUCAGGAGUCCUCCCCAUAGAAAGAUGGCCAGGACUCAAUGGAAAUGGAAGAUCAAUCGAGGCAAUUCAACAGUUAAGGACUCAAGACUAUACGUGAGAAACCUAGAUUCGUGGCCAGGAAAAUGUGAGUCCAAAAUCCAAACUCCUGAGAAUGCACCAAGCCAGUUUUCUAAAAGUCCCUUUCAAUACCAUGUACAAUAAGCAGAGUGAAAAUUAAAGUUUUUAAAAGUCUGUUUCAAAAUAUGUAAAUGAGAUGCUGCUUUCUGAAAGCCCCUAAGUGAUGGUGGGUAUGGUGACUGCUAGCGAGAGUAGACAAACCAAGUAUUUCAGCCUUCAAGGUAGGAUGAAACGGGGAUAAGUCCAUGACAUUCUAGUGGCAGGUCUAUAAAAGGAAAAUCUAACUUUCUGUAAAGAGUGGGAAGUUGAAACCCAGAUUCCAAUGAAAAUGUUGAGAUUUAAGAGAAUGCACAUAACUAAUACACUGUUAGAAUUUGUUGACAGAGAAGUAUGAGACUGUGAGUGGCAGGGUGAGCUUGUGAAGAGAGGAGAGAAGGCAGGGAGGGGAGGAGGGAGGAGGAGGAGAGAGGUGUGAAGGGAGAUGGAGAAGAGUAGAAUGCAUAGGGCCCUGCUCUGUCUCUAGUCACUAGACUGUCAGUGUGGUAUCAG
rnacentral:lncRNA from 1 species